rnacentral:tRNA from 1 species
GCCGGCUUAGCUCAGUUGGUAGAAGCAUCUGAUUUGUAAUCAGAGGGUCGCGUGUUCAAGUCAUGUAGCCGGCA